GUAGGGAAUCUUCCACAAUGGACGAAAGUCUGAUGGAGCAACGCCGCGUGAGUGAAGAAGGGUUUCGGCUCGUAAAACUCUGUUGUUAAAGAAGAACAUAUCUGAGAGUAACUGUUCAGGUAUUGACGGUAUUUAACCAGAAAGCCACGGCUAACUACGGGCCAA
rnacentral:rRNA from 1 species